UAAUACAGAGGGCCCGAGCGUUAAUCGGAAUCACUGGGCUUAAAGCGUGCGUAGGCGGAUAUAAAGGCAUCUUGUGAAAUCCCUCGGCUCAACCGGGGAAUUGCUUGGUGAACCAUAUAUCUUGAGGCAAGUAGGGGCGGUCGGAACGAUAGGUGGAGCGGUGAAAUGCGUAGAUAUCUAUCGGAACGCCCAAGGUGAAGACAGGCCGCUGGGCUUGUCCUGACGCUGAGGCACGAAAGCGUGGGUAGCGAACGGGAUUAGAUACCCCGGUAGUCCACGCCGUAAACGAUGCGCACUAGGUCGAGGAGGCUUGACGCCCUCUUGGCCGAAGCAAAAGUGUUUAGUGCGCCGCCUGGGGAGUACGGUCGCAAGGCUA
rnacentral:rRNA from 1 species